GUAGAGUGCGAGCGUUAAUCGGAAUUACUGGGCGUAAAGCGUGCGCAGGCGGUUCUGCAAGUCAGAUGUGAAAUCCCCGGGCUUAACCUGGGAACUGCGUUUGAAACUACGGAGCUAGAGUACGGCAGAGGGGGGUGGAAUUCCACGUGUAGCAGUGAAAUGCGUAGAUAUGUGGAGGAACACCGAUGGCGAAGGCAGCCCCCUGGGCCGAUACUGACGCUCAGGCACGAAAGCGUGGGGAGCAAACAGGAUUAGAUACCCUGGUAGUCCACGCCCUAAACUAUGUCAACUAGUUGUCGGGGAAGCAAUUCCUUGGUAACGAAGCUAACGCGUGAAGUUGACCGCCUGGGGAGUACGGUCGCAAGAUUA
rnacentral:rRNA from 1 species